rnacentral:snRNA from 1 species
GGAUAUGAGGGCAAUCUGGCUGCGACAUCCAUUACCCCAAUGAUCGCCAGGGUUGACUCGGCAGGCUAAACGGGUGUUACCUUCCUCCCUCACCGUUCCAUGUGCGUCCCUCCCGAAGCUGCGUGGCUUGGUCGAAGAGAACCGCCUUCCCCCAAGUAGAGACGGACCUGUCUUAGGUGUCGAGGGUAUACCAGUAGCUGUGCUUCCCUCCUAGAACCUCCAACAAACAAGCUCUCAAGGGCCAUAGUACCAGCACCAAGCCCCAGCAACUGAAAGCAAAAAAGAAUUUAAAAAAUAAAUUAUCGUUUU